AGUUUUCGAGCCACACAGAGCUCUUCUUCAGGUCUGGGUAAGGUAUUUACAGUAAAAUGCAUGGUGGAACAGAUUGUAAUGGACCAUUCAAGGGAGGAUGGCCUGUUAACACCUCUGCAAUCAUAGGCUGAAAAGGGGAGUGCGUGUUAAUGGGUUAUAGAUGGAUUUAUGACUUAUUACAACAAUUUUCUUUCCCAGACAUGAAGAAGACUCCAUGUAGCUUUGAAAGCUUUUGUCUCCUAUCAACAGAGGUUGGUCCAAUAAAACAUUACCUCACCCACUUUGUCUCUCUUAUAACCUGGGACCCAAUAGGGCUACAAUUACACUGCGUACAACAAUGGAAGAAAUAUAUGUAGUAGUCCUCCUGUAUCAAAGUUCUUCAGCUUCUGUUGGGGUUUUGUUUUAUAGUGUGGUGUGAUCAGUCCCAGAUUUGAUGUUCAGUUGAAGGACCUGGAAAAGUGGCAGAACAACCUUUUGCCUUCACGUCAGUUUGGGUACAUAGUGCUGACAACUUCCGCUGGCAUCAUGGACCAUGAGGAAGCAAGGCGAAAACACACAGGAGGCAAAAUCCUGGGAUUCUUUUUCUAAAACUUGUAAAACAGGCAUACUAAUAAAUUGUUCAAAUGGA